rnacentral:rRNA from 1 species
AACGAACGCUUGCGGCAGGCUUAACACAUGCAAGUCGAACGCCCUAGCAAUAGGGAGUGGCAGACGGGUGAGUAACACGUGGGAACCUACCUUAUGGUACGGAAUAACCGAGGGAAACUUCGGCUAAUACCGUAUAAGCCCUUCGGGGGAAAGAUUUAUCGCCAUUAGAUGGGCCCGCGUCGGAUUAGCUUGUUGGUGGGGUAAUGGCCUACCAAGGCGACGAUCCGUAGCUGGUCUGAGAGGACGAUCAGCCACACUGGGACUGAGACACGGCCCAGACUCCUGCGGGAGGCAGCAGUGGGGAAUCUUGGACAAUGGGCGAAAGCCUGAUCCAGCCAUGCCGCGUGAGUGAUGAAGGCCUUAGGGUUGUAAAGCUCUUUUAGCAGGGACGAUAAUGACGGUACCUGCAGAAUAAGCCCCGGCUAACUUCG